ACAAGGAUUCCCCUAGUAACUGCGAGUGAAGCGGGAAAAGCUCAAAUUUAAAAUCUGGUGGUCUUUGGCCAUCCGAGUUGUAAUCUAGAGAAGUGUUACCCGCGUCGGACCGUGUACAAGUCUCCUGGAAUGGAGCGUCAUAGAGGGUGAGAAUCCCGUCUUUGACACGGACUACCGAGGCUUUGUGGUGCGCUCUCAACGAGUCGAGUUGUUUGGGAAUGCAGCUCAAAAUGGGUGGUAAAUUCCAUCUAAAGCUAAAUAUUGGCGAGAGACCGAUAGCGAACAAGUACCGUGAGGGAAAGAUGAAAAGAACUUUGGAAAGAGAGUUAAACAGUACGUGAAAUUGCUAAAAGGGAAACGCUUGAAGUCAGUCGCGUUGGCCGGAAAUCAGCCUUGCUUUUGCUGGGUGUACUUUCUGGUUGACGGGCCAGCAUCAGUUUUGACCGGUGGAAAAAGUUCGAGGGAAUGUGGCAUCUUCGGAUGUGUUAUAGCCCUUGGUCGUAUACAUCGGUUGGGACUGAGGAACUCAGCACGCCGAAAGGCCGGGUCUUUGACCACGUUCGUGCUUAGGAUGCUGGCAUAAUGGCUUUAAUCGACCCGUCUG
rnacentral:rRNA from 1 species